GUAUUACCAUGAGUUCCCUGCAGGCACUUCAUGAGGCACUAUUUCAAAUGCCACCGUGAAGUGUUUGGGGGAACUCUUGGUGCCAC
rfam:Triticum urartu cultivar G1812 contig376674, whole genome shotgun sequence.